ACCUGGCCGGCUCAGUCGGUGGAGCAUGUGACUCUUGAUCUUGGGGUUGUGAGUUUGAGUCCCACGUUGGGUG
rfam:Felis catus isolate Cinnamon breed Abyssinian chromosome B4, whole genome shotgun sequence.